rnacentral:rRNA from 1 species
UACGUAGGGUGCGAGCGUUGUCCGGAAUUAUUGGGCGUAAAGGGCUCGUAGGCGGUUUGUCGCGUCGGGAGUGAAAACCUCGGGCUUAACUCGGGGCUUGCUUUCGAUACGGGCAGACUAGAGGUAUGCAGGGGAGAACGGAAUUCCCGGUGUAGUGGUGAAAUGCGUAGAGAUCGGGAGGAAUACCUGUGGCGAAGGCGGCCUACUGGGCCGGACCUGACGCUGAGACGCGAAGGCGUGGGGAGCGAACGGG